GAUGAACGCUGGCGGCGUGCCUAAUACAUGCAAGUCGAGCGAACGGACGAGAAGCUUGCUUCUCUGAUGUUAGCGGCGGACGGGUGAGUAACACGUGGAUAACCUACCUAUAAGACUGGGAUAACUUCGGGAAACCGUAGCUAAUACCGGAUAAUAUUUUGAACCGCAUGGUUCAAAAGUGAAAGACGGUCUUGCUGUCACUUAUAGAUGGAUCCGCGCUGCAUUAGCUAGUUGGUAAGGUAACGGCUUACCAAGGCAACGAUGCAUAGCCGACCUGAGAGGGUGAUCGGCCACACUGGAACGGAGACACGGUCCAGACUCCUACGGGAGGCAGCAGUAGGGAAUCUUCCGCAAUGGGCGAAAGCCUGACGGAGCAACGCCGCGUGAGUGAUGAAGGUCUUCGGAUCGUAAAACUCUGUUAUUAGGGAAGAACAUAUGUGUGAGUAACUGUGCACAUCUUGACGGUACCUAAUCAGAAAGCCACGGCUAACUACGUG
rnacentral:rRNA from 1 species